GCUGGGCGUAGUGGCGCACGCCUGUAGUCCCAGCUACUCGGGAGGCUGAGGCAGGAGAAUCACUUGAACCUGGGAGGCGGAGGUGGCAGUGAGCUGAGAUUGCGCCACUGCACUCCAGCCCAGGUGACAGAGUGAGACUCUGUCUCAA
rnacentral:SRP_RNA from 1 species